CGAAAGCCUGACGGAGCAAGACCGCGUGAGGGAGGAAGGCCCUAGGGUUGUAAACCUCUUUUAUCAGGGAAUAAGCAAUGAAGGUACCUGAGGAAUCAGCAUCGGCUAACUCCGUGCCAGCAGCCGCGGUAAUACGGGAGUGGCAAGCGUUAUCCGGAAUUAUUGGGCGUAAAGCGUCCGCAGGCGGCCUUGUAAGUCUGUCGUUAAAGCGUGGAGCUUAACUCCAUUUGAGCGAUGGAAACUACAAGGCUUGAGUGUGUAGGGCAGAGGGAAUUCCCGGUGUAGCGGUGAAAUGCGUAGAUAUCGGGAAGAACACCAGUGGCGAAGGCGCUCUGCUGGCACAUAACUGACGCUCAUGGACGAAAGCCAGGGGAGCG
rnacentral:rRNA from 1 species